AUUGAACGCUGGCGGCAGGCUUAACACAUGCAAGUCGAGCGGAGAGAGGUAGCUUGCUACUGAUCUUAGCGGCGGACGGGUGAGUAAUGCUUAGGAAUCUGCCUAUUAGUGGGGGACAACAUUUCGAAAGGAAUGCUAAUACCGCAUACGUCCUACGGGAGAAAGCAGGGGAUCUUCGGACCUUGCGCUAAUAGAUGAGCCUAAGUCGGAUUAGCUAGUUGGUGGGGUAAAGGCCUACCAAGGCGACGAUCUGUAGCGGGUCUGAGAGGAUGAUCCGCCACACUGGGACUGAGACACGGCCCAGACUCCUACGGGAGGCAGCAGUGGGGAAUAUUGGACAAUGGGCGGAAGCCUGAUCCAGCCAUGCCGCGUGUGUGAAGAAGGCCUUUUGGUUGUAAAGCACUUUAAGCGAGGAGGAGGCUACUUAGAUUAAUACUCUAGGAUAGUGGACGUUACUCGCAGAAUAAGCACCGGCUAACUCUGUGCCAGCAGCCGCGGUAAAAC
rnacentral:rRNA from 1 species